GGAGGGGGCAAGCGUUAUUCGGAAUUAUUGGGCGUAAAGGGCGCGUAGGCGGCUUGAUAAGUCAAAGGUGAAAUCCCUCGGCUCAACUGAGGAACUGCCUUUGAAACUGUCGGGCUUGAGGCCGGGAGGGGGUAGCGGAAUUCCCAGUGUAGCGGUGAAAUGCGUAGAUAUUGGGAGGAACACCGGUGGCGAAGGCGGCUACCUGGACCGGUUCUGACGCUGAGGCGCGAAAGCGUGGGUAGCAAACAGGAUUAGAUACCCUGGUAGUCCACGCUGUAAACGAUGGGUGCUCGGUGUCGCGGGUAUCGACCCCUGCGGUGCCUUAGCUAACGCGUUAAGCACCCCGCCUGGGGAGUACGGUCGCAAGGCUGAA
rnacentral:rRNA from 1 species